GUAGUAUUCCCUCCGUCCUAAAAUUCUUGUCUUAGAUUUGUUUAGAUAUAAAUGUAUCUAGUCAAGUUUUAGUAUUUAGAUACAUCCAUUUCUAGACAAAGUUAAGACAAGAAUUUUGGGACGGAGGGAGUACCAA
rnacentral:pre_miRNA from 1 species